rnacentral:lncRNA from 1 species
GUCUGCGCAGGUUGAAUGAGCUAAUAUGGCGGCCUGUGGAGAAGCCCACGGAGGGAGGGGUUGUUAUUGUUGUUAUGAAAUGUCACAGGCAUUCCUGCUGGCUGACUCACGGGGCUCCAGACUUGGAGGGCUCCCUUCCAAAUAAGGCACGGACGUGUCCAGGCGGUGGCCUACGGGCUUUGCUGGUCACCCCUGCCGCUGAUGUGAGUGCAGAGCCCGAGUCUGUUGAUCCAGGGCUGGCCUCCUCCUGGCCCCUCCUGAGUGGCCCAGCUGCAGUGUGGCCGUGAAGGGCCCUGUGAGCUGCCUUCACGGAUCCGGGUGGGGGCUGUGGGCUGGUCUCUGAGUCAGAGGACGAAGGAAGACAGGAGUGGACGGCGGCCAGGGGCCGAGCACAUCUCUCGGCGGGAUUUCAGAGGCCAAGGCCUUCCCGGCAAAUCACGGUUAGUAGCAAAACCGGAGUCUCACUUGCAGUGACAACUGUGCUUUGAUCACUGCCAACGCUUGGAAGCACUUGUGGCUUUUCAGGGCUUCAGGCAGAGUCAGAGGAACCAGGUGUUUGCCCAGGCGGUCCAGGAGGGACGAGCAGCCCCUGGGUGAAUGGGGAGAGAAACAUCCAAGUCCUUCCCUGCAUGGCCCCUGGUGACGGCCACAGUGCUCCCAGGAAGGACCCCACCCCGUACUGCACCUCCUCUUCACAAUAAAGGGGUCAAGACUGGACUCGGACCCUGGGCUUGCCUGGUUCCGCCACUCCUACCGCUGUGGACUUGAGCAAGUUAGUGACCUCUCCCCGUCUCUCAUUCCUCAUUAGCUUGGCACAGAGUCACUUGAUACAUGGUCACCAUGAUGGUCUGUUGCUCUCAUUAAAUUUUAAUGUGACCUUUUUAUUUAUUUAUUUUUAAUGCACUGAGAGAUUAUUAUAUGCAGACACUGGCUUAGGUUUUGGAGAUACAGCAAUGAGCCAAACAGAGUCUGUAUUAAUGGGGACCAAGGUGGGUGUGUCGGGUGGGUGACCUAGAGGUGAAUAUCCACAUCUUCAUGUGGCGUUGAGUGGUGUCAAGAACAACAAGUCAGGGAGAGAUGUGGGGGUGACCGGAGUUGUUCUUUUAGAUCAGCCAUUGGCGAACCGUGGCCCACUGUCGCUUGUGUAUAUAUAGGUAAAGUUUUAUUGGGACACCCCCUUGCUGCUCUGUAUGUCGGCUAGGACUGCUUUUGAGUUAAAGGUUUGCCAAAGAGACUGGUUUGCAAAACUGAAAUUGUUUACCAUCUGGAUCUUUAUAGAAAAAAGUUACCAAUCCCUGUUUGUUUCUUCAUUUAUUUUUUGGUACUGGGGAUUGAACCCAGGGACACUCUACAACUGGACAGUAGCCCCAGACCUUUGUAUUUUGAGAGAGGGUCUUGCUAAUCUGCUGAGGCUGGCCUCAAACUGGUGAUCCUCCCACCUCAGCCUCCAGAAUCUCUGAUACUGCAGGUGUACACCGUGACCCUGCCCGACCCAUUUAGAUGAUGUGGACAGGGAGAGCAAGGGAUUGGGUGGAGCAAAUAUCCAGGGAAAGAGGUUCAGGAGAGGAAGCCACAAGUCUCAGGGUCCUGAUGGGGAAUAGCAAGGGGGCAGGCGGGAGUGCCUGGAGGGGUCUGGAGGUCUGGCUUUUCCUGGGGGCAGCUGGGGAAGGCGUGGGGGCCUGUUAGGAGGUCGCUGCUGUCAUCUAGUUGCCUUGGAACCCAGUGAAAGGUUGCAGGAAGGUAAGAAAUGUAAAUGUAGGAGGCAAGAUUCCCAGGACCUGCGAGGCACAGACCACAGGUGUCUCUGGCUCUCUAAUGUCUGGGGAGUGCGAGGGUGCAUGGAUGGAGGGACAGUUCCUGGAUCUUGUCAGUGCCCGAGCAGGGCCGAGCAGCCAGCCUCCUGGUGCCCGUGACCCACGGGCUCCGGCUCUCUUCCUAAGGUCCUCCCCGGCCCCCAAUGGGUCCUGGUGGAUACUCAGGGGUGUCGCAUGUCCCCUGGACCAUCGCGAGGGGCCAUCACGAGUGGGUCACAUCUCCUGCCUCCUGUCAGGCUGGGAUUUCCUCUUGCGCAGACAUUGUCUUGGGGCCCUUCUGUUGACCCGUGGGGACAGGAAGUGGCAGGAUCGGCUCCCCAUGCCCCAGGCCCACCUCACCGUUUCAGCGAUGAGACUAGACUUGCCGGGGAGGCUGGAGCCGAGUCCCUGGGGCGCCCUGGGAAGGCUUUCAUCACCUCUAAUGACCCAGUGUCAAUAGCAGCCUGCUAAUAGGUAACCCUGCAUUACUGGACUUGCACUAAUUAGUUGCUAUCCAUAGAGUGCCAAUCCCCAGACGGUGGGCAGGAGGGCCCUCAUAGCAUUGGGGAGACCGCCCAAGGCCCCCAGGCCAUCGCCUCCUGCAUGUCAGUGGGCUAAGGCUCCCACGUGCAGCCUGGUGGUGAGGGUCCUCAGGGAAGGGAGCUGAGCCCCUGGGGCUUGCCGCAGACCCCCACUGGUGGCAGCCAGCCAUGGGGAACCCCUGUCCCGCCCUGCGUUCAGGUUGUGUCUGCCUUGCUGGGUGGUCCUGGCCAGACUGUGAGCUGCCUGAGGUCAGGGCGAUCCCACCCGGGGAUACCCCAGGCAGGCGCUGGAAACCCAGUGGGGAUGGGGACUUGGGUGCAUGCCCUGCUCUCCUGGUGUGUCCCACAGCAGAGCUCCGUGGGUGUCAAGGGGCUGGGCUGGGUCAGAGAGACGCCUGGCACCCGUCGGGGUGGCGUGUGGCUCCUGGAGAGGCGGCAGCCCUGUGGAGUCCACCUCCUCCCUGGCUCUUGGCUCCCUUCUGGUGCUCGGACUGCCCAUCUCAAGAGUGGGACAGCGGGGACAGGGAGCUUGGGAAACAAGGAGGAGGUUCAGUGGUGGCCGCCCUUGGAGAGAAGUGGGAUCCCUCUUUAAAAAGCAGUUUUGUUGAUACAAAACUCACAUCCGUAGCUGCAGGCCGGAUCGUGUCAUCCCCAAAUUCAUGUUGAUGCCCUUGUGCCAGCAGCUUCCUGGGACACAGGGCCUUCGGAGAGCUGAUGAGUGACCAUGAGACCGUUAGGGUGGGCCCUGAUCCAACCCGAGCAGUGUCCUCGCAAGAAGAGGGCAUUGGGACACACACAGGGACAUCAGGGGCCCUCACAGAGGAGGGAUGGCAGGGGCACAGGAGAAGAGGCCAGGAACAGUCUCAGGAGGAGGCAGGCGAGGUCCUGCUGAGGACCGGGAAGACAGCGCUGUUGUCCAGGCUGCUUGACCAGGCUACCCGGCGAGCACCGGCGGGAGCCACAGUCCACACGGCCCGCCGCUGGCAGUACAGUUCCAAGGUUCUCAAAUGUCCGUUGGGAUCCGGGCCGUUGCUCGUCACCUUCAGGCAUCUCCAUCCCUCAGGAACGCUGCGCCUCGAGCUAGGCCACUGUCCCCACAUCCCACCCCUCACCCCACCUGAGCACCACUGUCUGCCUUCUGGACAUUCCAUACAAACGGAAGCACACAACGGUGGCCUUUGUGACCUUCCGUCCCCAGCACCAGGUCCCACGUUCCCUUGUGGGAUGGUCCACACCUGCUCAUCCAUUGUCGGCUGACGUCUGAGCUGCGUCCCUCCUUGGUCUGUGGUGAGUGACACUGCUGUGACAUUGGUGGAUGGGUUUUUGUUGAACAUAGAGCUUUCCCGGGUACAUAGCAGGAGUGGAGUCCCCGGGGCCUGAUUGAGCUCUGUUCACGGGGGAGGGGGUAAAUGCUGCAGGGGACUGGGGCAGCGGCACCACAGCUGCAGGAAGGGGAGGGGCCAUGGUAGUCCUUCCAGCCAGAGCCCUGGGAGAUCUAGACCCAGAGACCAAGUGAAAUGGGCAAGGCCUGCGGGGUCUGGGGCAGUGGGGGUGCGGGGCAGAGGCUCCUUUGCGCUCCCCUCUUGAGCUGGACAUUCCAAGGGUGGAAACCCCUAAAAGCAAAUCUUAUCCAAGAACUUGACAGUCCACUGAUCAGAGGUUCAUCCUUGUGAGAGGACAGUUUUGAUGCCAGGUGAGGUCUUAAUGGUCCCACGAAGUCAAUUGAAUCCGUGAAGAGUCACUCACUGACCGACACCAGCACGCGUUACCGCCCAUUCAGAGGCGCCAGGAGGGAGCUGGCUAUAGUUGGUCCACACCAUGCAGUGUGGUCAGUGUCCAUAGGGCAGUGGCCAGCUGCAUGGUGGUGGACAUCCCAGCUGAAAGACCGUGGAACGUGAAGAGAGGCCCAAGGUGUGCUGGACGGGAUGCCCGUGAGCCUCUUCCUCCCAUUUCAAAGCCUCCCCUGGUUUCCCAGACACCCUGGAGACAGGACAGGCUGAUCCUCCGCCCCCGGGAGGGGAGAUGGGGGAAGGAAGGGAAGGGGCGAGGGAGGCAGGACAGGGGGCUCUUGGGAGGAAGGGCUGUUGGGCUGUGGGCUCAGAGAGGGAUUGGGAUGGGAUUGUGUGCACAGCAAGAGGGUGGGGGGUGCUGGCAGGAGAGGAGACCAAGAGCGACCAUAUCUGUCUCUGUUCUUUGCUGUCUGAAGGCCUUGUCCCCGUGGGGCUGGCAUGUCGACCACAGGAAGGGUGAACCUGGGUUCUAGUGAAGCUGGCGAGCUGCUAGCAGGACAGGAUGGCCUCAGUGCCAAGCAGGACCCAGGGUGGCUUCAUUCUGGGGGGCAGGAGGGCAACAGGAAGAGCCCGAGAGCAACUCUGCUUUCCUAAUGUCCCAGAGGGCUGCGCAGGACAAGUCCCAGGGCUGUCCUGGUGAGGGUCAUCUCAGAAGCUUGACCACCUCUUGGCGUCCUCCCAAUGAACUUGGGGCUUUGCUUGGAGAGUCCAGCUGGUGAUUCCGCCUCCCGGGAGCAGGGGACAGUGUGGAAGGGCACCAGAGGGCAGGACGAGGCACUGCUCGCUAGUUUGGGCCCUGAGACUCAGCUAUGGUUGAGGGAUGGGUGGCCACAGGCCCUGCAGUUCAGAGUGGGGGACACUACGAUGUGCCUGGAACAUCACCCAGAAUCCACAAUGCGGCAGCAGGAAGGCAGCUGGGGGCAGCCUGCUGGUGGUCAGCUAUGUCCUCCUAAGUGCUCGGGGGUGGGUGGGGCAGGGCAGCAGGAACCCAGGUCCCCAGUGAGCAAGGCUGAGGUCACAUGCUAGGCAGGCUCCUUCUGUGGAGGGUUGUGUCACCUGUGAUCACAGAGAAGAGGGGGCUGAGGCUCCCCCACCGCCCGCUUUCUCCCGUGAUCAUCAUCCAAUUGCGAUGGAGGGAGGGCCACGGGUCACCUCUCCCUGGAGCCAGGUUACAACCCGCAUGGAGAACCAGCCUUGGUCUUGGGCUUGGAACUUCUCUGUAACGUUCUCCACACCUGGUUUGCAGUGUUUGAAUCCCGCCAGUAAUGGGGAUCUCAGAACCUUUCAACAGCAGCCGGUGCCUUUGGAGGCAGCAAGGACUGGAACGAGAGUUUCUCAUCUGAGACUGAAAAUCUGUUUCUGAGCUUCAGUGGCAGUAUUCCUCUUUCUUCUGUCUGUUUCUAUGUUUUUGUGGUGCUGGGGAUUGAACCUAGUGGGUGCUCUACCACUGAGCCACACCCCAGGCCUUUAAAAUUUUUUUUUUUGUAUUUUGAGUUAGGGUCUCACUAAGUUGCCCAGGCCGGCCUCCAACUUGUGACCCUCCUGCCUCAGCCUCCUGAGUAGCUGGGUUUACCGUCCUUCACCACUGCUGCCAGCUUCAGUAUUCAGCUUAAUUUUAUACUUGGGGCCUGUAGUGUUUUGAGUGAUGGCAUCCCCCCUCGAAACUCACGUGGAUACCCAAUCCCCAGUGCAGAAGUGUUUAGGGGUGUGGGAGCCGUCUCCAGGGCUGCACCCUCCCGAAUGGGGUCAGCAUUCUUAGAAAAGGCUCAAGACCAAAGGGAGCACUCUCUGGCCCCUCUGCGUUGUUGGAUGCAGCAAUGAGACGCCAUCCUGAAACAGAGCAGCCAUCACCAGGCGUCAACAGCAGCAUCUUGAUCCUGGAUUUCCAGCCUCAGAGCUGUGAAAAAUAAGUUUAUGUUCUUUGCAGUUUACCCAGCCUCAGGUAUUUUGUGAUAGCAGCACGAAUGGAUGGAGUCUAUUUCCUUGUAGCAGCACAGCACCCCACAUUCUUGAAGGAAGGUUUUGUCCCUUCCAAGUUUGUCUUAUUUGGUAUUAAUUAUUUUUCAAGGGGGCUGAUUUCAAGUUCUUUUACCUAUCGGUGAACUCAUUAAUUUGACUUAGUCUCUGCCCACACCCAAACUAAACAAUAGGCCAGGGAAUGUCAGGACAGGGUAGAAGAGAGAGUUAUUAUGACCGCCUUGUUAAGGAGACAAUACUUUUAUAAUGAAUUCUGUGUCCGUCAGCUUCCUGUCACUAUAGCAAAAUACCUGAGACAGUUAACAGCUAAGGAGAAAAGGUUAUUUUGUCUCCCAAUCUGGGGAGUUCCAGCCUGUGCUCAGUUGGCCUUGUCAUUUGGGCUUGUGAAACAGUGUGUCAUGGCAGGACACCAGGGAGCAAACCGGCUCAGCUCCUCCCAAGCCAGGAAGCAAAGAGAAAAUGAGGUGAGGCCCCCACAGACCCUUCAAGGGGCUCCCCAAGGAUCAAGGCCUCCCACUCAUUCCCACCAUUUCCCACUAGUGCCACCUGGGACCAAGGGCCCCCAUGGGUCUUGGGGGGACACGCGAGGCCCCACUACAGCAGAACCCGGUGCUCCAGUCAGGGCUUCCAGGGGAGCAGAACAGGCAGCUGCGAAGUGAUGCCCUGCGCCAGGGACAGACUGCUCAGCCCAGGUGGCCCUGAAGAGCAUGUUACCUGGUGACGUCACAGCUGCCAGGCUGUGUGAGCAGGGAACGGGAGGCUGAGUGAUGCAUUUCUCUGAGCGUGUCCUCUCUUUUAGGUGACCGUACACUGAUAUUUAAGAGGAGCCCGACCGUGGGAAUCAGCUCAUGUGAUUAUGGAGGCCGAGGAGUCCCACGAAACGCUGUUGGCAAGCUGGACACGCAGGCAGCGGAGCUGUGACUCAGUCUGAGGAAGUCCUGGGAACAUGCAGGGCGGGGGCCGGGGCGGCCCUGGCCUGCAUCUGAGUUUGAAGGCUUGGGAGCUUUGGGGUCCUUGGGGUGUCCCAUCCCCAGCAGAGAGAGCACAGUGACCUCCUCCACUGUUUGUCCACCCAGCCCUCAGUGGAUAGGCCCAUGCCCAUCCACCUGGGUGGACUUCACUCAGUCCACGGAGUCAGGGGCUAAGCUCUUCCAACAACGCUCAGAAAUAAAGUCUGGUGUCCCUUAACCCUGGCACGGUGACACCGAAGGUUAGCCGUCACACAGACUGCACAGCCAGCCCCAGCUCUGUUAACUCAGAGCACGUGGAUCUGCUUAGACCAAACAAGACCACACGGCCACCGUGGCCGCCGGCUGCACAUGGCUUUCCAUAGGAGGCUGACCAAACUCUCUGGGAUCCCCCAAGCAGUGCAUCAGGAACCAGGACGUGGUGUGUGAUGGGGACGGGGGGAGCGGGGUGACGUCGCCUCCCCUCAGCUUAUCCUGGAUUCCCUCUGAAGCAGGCCCUGACCCCGUCCUGGGAUCCACACCCAGCCAUCCCCUUGUCAGGGGGCUCUACCUCUGCACAAUCAACCAAUGGCAGGUGGAAGAGAUUUGGGGGAAAAACCCACAUCGAUAAAAAAGAACAAUAUAACAACAAGAAAAGUAGGAAGAAAAAAUCAACAUCACAACUGUUUACGUAGCAUUUACAUUGUGUUAGGCCUUAGGAGUAACCUAGGGAUUGUUUAAAGUACAGGGAGGAAGCCCUUAGGGUCAUAUGCAAGAACCACUGCUGUCAUUUCUAUAAGGGACUCGAGCAACCUCAGAGGUAGGUGACCACGGGGACCUGCAGCACAUCCUCUUUGGAUCCCUGUCCCCUCCUCCAGGUGCAAGGUAGCUGGGGAGCUGCUUCUGGUCUGUUGUGCUCAGCCCAGGGCAGAAGGUACAGGUGCCUGAUCAGACUUGUAACCAGUGCGCCCAGGAGCACACAGGGCCCAGGGGCUGAGGGUGGGUCUUGCUGGCACCUGGCUCCCACUCCGUCUCCGCUGCCCUGGACCAAGCUGGGCCUGCUGCUGUCUCCCCUCGUCCUUGGGUUCCCCGCGGCUGUUGACAGGUGCUGACUGCCUCCUGUCCCGUCCUUUAGGGUGCAGAGCCACCAUCAUUUCAGCAGACCUUGGCCCAGCUGCCAACUCUACUCUUCGUCUGGCCUCCCCCAGCCGCCCACCUGGGACAGGCAGCCAGCAGGACGCGCUGGACUGGGAGGGGACUUGGAGCUCCGCAGCAGGCUCCCUGGGCCUCCCGAGGGGAGGACUGCUUCCAAGAACUGCUUCCCCUCCCGCUGCCCCAGCUCUGACUCAGAGGAAACUGGAAAGAGGACAUGAAAUACCCACAGUUCCAGGGUUCCGUGGGGUCACAGGAUCUGGAGCUCUCCAAGGAGAGGAGGGAGUGCCCGCAGCCGGGGCCCACGGGGCCACGGAACCACGGAACCUCAUGGACGGGUGUCCAUAUCUGUGGUCCCAGUCUGCGAUCUGGGGCUGCUUUUCCUGUCCCUCACAGCCAUCCUGACCGGUCCUGCCUGUUCUUGCUUCUGACCCCGUCAUCCAUCGAGGAGGCCUGGGCUUCUGCACAGGGAGGUGGAGGCCUCCCUCGCUCAUGGUCGAGGCAGGUCUUGCCAGGCCAGCACCAGGAGCGCUCGGGCCUGGCCAGAAGUUUUAAUGAAGAGAACAACAAAUGGUGGGCGGGCGGGUGGGGGGGGGGCGGCUGUGAUUCCAUCUUCCCUUUUGGCAGAAACUAACUUCUCUGCGAGAACAAUGAGAAGUCAGGGUGGAGUUUCCCCUGCCACUCAGCACCCCCAGGAAAGUGCUGUGGCUGCGAGGGCUGGACGGGCUCUGCAGGGGGGUGCCUGCUGAGCAGGCCUGGAGGGCUGGUCAGUGGCCGGCCGGCUCUGCUGCCUUGCCUGUCCCUGAUGUCCUGAGCCCUUCCUGCUGCGCAGACCGCCACACUGUGGCCUAGACCACAGCAUUUGUUGGGUGAAGGCUACUGAUCCCCCACAGGGCUGGCCUUGGCGAUGUCCUGGGGUCAGUGGAGAGGCAGGCUGGGCAAUGCUGGCCAGGCAGGGGCUGGGGACGCGGGACGGCUUCCUUUGUCCCAGGAAGGAAGGCUUCUUGGAGCAGGGCACCUCACUGGACUCCUGAGUCUGGCACAGCUACGACCCAAAUCCAGGUGGUAGACACAGGACACAGCCAAGCUGGCCCCUUGCUGGCUGCGUGGGGACCACUGGGAGCUGCCUUUCCUGUACCCAGGGUCCCUCUGGGCUUCCUGGGCGUCCGGUCCUGCCCUACAAAGCUGCUCUCAACCCAGUUCCAAGCCCGGCUGGGCCUCCUUGCUGCGGGGGACAGGGACGUGGGCUUCCAGAUACUUUGACAUGGACAACUCCACUGGCCUGCGUCUCUUUUUGUCAAAGGGAGGCCCUGAGCAGGCCGGUUGUCAUUAGGGAAAGCUCAGCAUAAAGUCCACGGGAUAAAAAUGCCACCCCCCUCAAAAAAGAAAGAAAAAAGCCUCCAAGAAUGGGGGUCCCAGAGCAGCUUGGGGUGUGUGUGUGUGUGUGUGUGUGUGUGUGUCUGAGUGUGCAGCCCUGGGGCCUUGGGCACAGCUGGCUCAGCAGUGGGGAAACUGUGGAUAGGAAUCCAGGAGAUGAGGAUCUGGAGUCAGAGUUCAUGGUCAAAGAGGCCUGAGCUGCCUGAGAGGAUGGCACUCCCCGGAGGACCCUCCCAGCCCAGGGAGGCAGGUCAGGGGUCACUGGGUCUCACCCCCUGUCACCGGAGGGUCCUGAGGUUGAGGGCCCAGAGGCAAGGCCUGUCUGGCAGCGUCCCCUCCGUGUGAAGUGGGGGUGUCUAGAAUGAGGCUCUCAGGGAUGGGGACGCUGGACUUGUUCCUCCCAGUGACAGGGAGAGACACCUGCCAAACUGUGAUGGGGUCACUGAGAGGAGGUUGGGGAUUCUAUGCCUGGCUGAGCUGAGAGGCCAGAGGUGAGCUCGGCAUUAUACAGGUGAGGAAUCGGAGGUGGCCCCGGCUGCUGGUGCCGAACGGGACUUCCCCGGACACCACCCCGGUCAGGUGGGCGGCAUCACCAGGGGCCCCUGGAUCACACACGCCCGCCCAGCGCUCCCCACGUCAGUGGCACCAACUGGAGAGCUGGGGGUGGGGCAGGAGCCCUCAGAGGCUGGGUCCCUGGAGACCCAGAGAAGGCGCAGCCAGCAGCCAGGCAGCCCAGGAGCCAAGUCUCUCACAGACUCUUUGUUUUCAUUAGGGGAAGAUCUCAAUUAAAAUAAUUACAGUUACAACAAAAAAUCACUAAGAGAGAGAGGAAAAGGAGUUCAGUUAAAUGCAGAUAUAUUCAGAAGCUGUUAUGAACUGGCUCCCUCUGAAAUCACCCAUUAACAAGUUCUCGCUAAUUAUCUACCUUUUAUUGUUUUAGAGAGGAAGCGGUUCCUCCAUUCCCUCCAUUCCCCCCAUUCCCCCCAUUCCUUCGGGGCUUGUUGGAGGCCCAGGAUCGGAGGGGUCUUCACAGUGGACGACACCCCCAUCCUUGUGAUUAGGUCGCCAGCAAGCCGGGCUGGCCCUGCAGAGCCUAGCCGAGCUUCGAGCUUCGCCUUACAACGAACAAUCAGCCUUGGUUUCCAUCACUAAGUGUCCCCCUUUUUUCAGAGACGGUGAUUUGCCCUGGGACCGAGGCUCCUGUUGGGAGCAAGGCUGUGCGGCAGGAAGAGUUUGGUGUUUUAUUUGCACUUCUUGCUUGGGUGGGGGUCGGGGCUUGAUUCUUUCCCUCUGUCCCUGGGGGUGCUCAACAGCAGCAGGAACUCUGCAUGUGCAGCCCCCUCCCCGGCCCCUCCCCUGACCACCAUGACAGGUGAGGCAGAGGGUGGGCAUCACUUGGGGUCAGGGUGCAGCCUAUGAGUCUGCCAGGGCCGUCUGUCUGGACUUCUGGGACUGUCCUGCUGUCAGCUCUGCCUGCAGGAUAUGCAUUUUCUACAGUUGUGGUGUUUAGACCGAAUCCUUCAGACCCCCUGCGUAUCUAGCAGCAGCACAAAAUUCUGUCAGGCCGCAUGGUCCCAUGUGGGGUGAAGAAGGAACCUGGCUGCCCAGGAUGGGGCUGUGGACGGGGCUCUCCUCCCAGCCGUGUGUGGCAGGAGGGCCAUCAGCCCUUGGGUCUCUGGAGGUGGCUUGUGCACUUAGCUGUAAGUCCUGGCUCUCGGGUCUGUAAAACACCAAGUUCAUGGUUUUACCUGCCCCCCCCCCCAGAUUGCCUCCGAAGAGGACCACUGUGCCGUCUGGAGGAUUGGGGUGGGAGCGUCGGGGGAGCUGUCUGAGGCGCUGCAUGUCCUAGAAAAGCAAGAGCCAGAUGCCAACCACAUAAGGUGCCCAGAGUCAGCACUGAGGUCCUGUCCUGGUUGUGGGGGUGGGAAAGACCCCAGGUGUUGGUGGGAAUCCCUGGAGAGACAGCCCUGGCUUCCUGGGUGGUCCCUCAUAUGCUGGUGGGGCUCUAUUGGAAUGUGAAUGCUCCCAAGGGCACUGACCACUCCCCCGUAGGUGUGGCCCUAGCCCCUCUACUCCCCUGGUGGAAUCCCGGCCUUUCUGCCUGUGUGCCCUCAGUCUCUGUUCUCUGCCUGCAGCGCCAGCCGUGGUGUCCACCCCCUGCACGCCUGCGUCCUGGUGCCGGGCACGCCUUGCUCAUCCUACACCCCUGCUCACCAGUUAGCUCUGCAGUGGUCUUGGCUGAGGGUCUUCCUUCUGGAUGUGCGCCAGGCUCCGCGCUCCUUGCAGAGGAGUGCUGGCCAUCAGGGGACUGAGACAGCCCGAGAGGUCGAUUUGAAAACCCCAGAGCAUCACUCGGCCUCAGGGGCCCCCGUGGGUUGCCUCUGUGCGUGGCACUGUGUCACGCACAGGGGAGGAGGACACCAGAAGCAGGAGCACGGCCAGCGCUGGGCGGGGCCCAGAGUCUGCUGGAGAGCCACACGGAGUCCCCUCCUGAGGGCUCGGCUGCGGAGGGCUGCCCGCUGCUGGCCGAGGGGCACUUGAGUGUUAAGGGAGGCCAUUUCCUCAGAUCUCUCCAAGACAGAGAAGGAGCAGGGAGGUCUGUUCCAGAGAGUCGGGAAGCUGGCCUGUCCCCAAGAAGUCCCAUUGCUCUGGGUCAGUAGCACACCUGAGCCAGGAUUAAAGCCCCAUCGGCAUGAGCAAGGUGACAAAGGCCAGGCCUCGUGCAGGAGGGGGACAAGUGGGUGGGCCAGAUGCUGGCUGGUGAGUCCUGCCGUGUGCUGUCUGAGAAGGGGGAGGUGGAGGGCUGGAGGGCUGGGUGUGCAGGGGGACAGCCCCCAAGGGAGUUCAGACCCUCACCUCCCCGCUUCCUGGGUGGGGGCUUCGAGCUUGAUCCCCGACUUGAUCCCCUUGUACCUGGAGAGCAGCCAGGGGCGGGAGACAAGGGGCCGGUCGCAGGCACAUUGUGUCCCAGGUCUGGGCGACAGAGGAUUUCCUGGGCAGGCCCAGUGUCCGCCGGUUCCCAAAGGCGAGGCCAAGCAGAGCGAGGCGGCCUGUCCUUCCCCCACCAGAGGCGGUGGACACGAGCAGAGGGAGGUCAGCGGUCAGCCAGGCCCCCUCCUCCCCACUCACCUGGGCGUGACGUUCCCGGAGGAUGUGCGUUGGGUGGGGAGCUGGGCCCUGUGGGCGCUGCCAUUUCCCGGUGCCGUAUCGUUGCUAGUCUGACCUUGUUGCUUCUCCUGGGGUGCAUUUUACUUGUGCUCUGCCUCCCCUGACGGGGUGGGUACGUGGAGCAGUGCGACCCGACCAGGUAGUCCUCACCCUGAAGGUGCGGUGAGGUCCCAGUGGCCUGACCAAAGGUGACCCCUCACAGCACACAGUUCUCUGAGCUCUCUCACAGUUCACAGGGCUGCAGGAGGACCCAGGCUCAGGACUCUGGACCAUUGUGUGGUGUGCGCUGACCUCGGUGAAUCCUCCUAAGGACCCUGUCAGUGGAGAUUAUUUUACAGAAGAAGAAACUGGUCUCAGAGAGGUUCAGCACUUUUCCUAGGGCCACACAACUGAGAAUCAGCUGCACCUGGAUUUGAACUCCUGCACUCUGGUUCCAGAUCACCUGACCGCCACCCUGCCUAUCUGAUGCCAAGUGACCUACUCAGCAUGACCCCACCUGACCUCACUUCCAUCCCCAGACCGGCCCUCCUCUGCUCCCCAACUUGUCAAUGUCACCUCCAAACUCUCUCCCUGGGUUGAGAGCUGGCCUGGGCCCUUCCCUCUCAUUCCAAUCUUCUGCCCAGCGUGGGCCCCAGCUCAGCUCCUCCUCCUCCUGCCUGGCACCCCGUCUCUGUCCUGCCUGCACUGCCCAAAUGCCAAGCUGCGUUCUUCCCACUGCACCAAAGUCAAAAGCCCGACUCCUCAGGGUGUCUUGGCUGCCGGCCUCGCGGUGCCUGUGGAUUGGCUCCGCCCCACAGCCUGUUAGUCUCAUGGUGUGCUUCUACGUCCCGUGGCUCCACCCCUUACUCACGCUUCCUCAGCUCAGAUUGCCCGCACUCACUGUUGGCAGCCUGGCGAGCUCCUGUUCACACCUCAAAACCCCGCCUCCACGACCUUCCUGUAUCCUCUCCCUCCCGAGAGCUCCUUCUAACUCAUCUGAACUUUCAUUCUUCUUGUCAAUUACGGAUAUUGCUCUUACCAGUGCCCACCCCCUUUUGGACUCUGUGGAAGGUGUUGGAAGCAUCUUGCGCCUCUCCUUCCUAGAUCCACCAGAGCCUGGUCCUGGGUAAUGCUGGUGGAGUACAGGGAACGGGCUCAGCCCUUUCCCACCCACCAUCUCUCAGUGCCUUCUGGAAGAUCCUACUGAUCGUCAACUUGCAAGCCUCCGGGAGCCUUCUGCAGCCUAUUUGAGGGCUUGCCUUUGUCACCUGAUGCCCAUCUCUCAUGGCCCAGGUGCUGAGAAUCCUGCUGCUCCAUGCACAGACUUGGCCACAGUGAGGCCAACACCAAUAGUGCUGCAGCCUCGUGGAAUGGUGUUCUGCCGAGAAGGAGAACUGGAGGAAUGUUCCCAUGGCAACGGGGUCUUCCUGGAGACUGUCGGAGGGGAACAGCUCUGGUUCUGCUGGGCGCGGCUGCAGCCUGGGUAAGGCCAGGCGGAGGCCAGGGCACUGCCCACUGCUCGCUACUCUUCUGGCCGCUCCUCCACUCGGGCCUCCCUCUCACUGUUCUCUGCCGGCCUCCCUGGGCCCUGCUGGAAGGGCUGCUGUGUGCCCCGCAGGGUUCCCAGACAGCCAUCUCUUCCCGGGUGAUAACAGAAAACGUGCCUUUUGGCAACAGAGGUUUUCAUGCUCAUGUGAAAUGAUCCUCCAGAAUGCCACUCACGUGUCCAUUUCACAGACAGGGCACCCAGGCUGCACUCUGUAAGUGCAGCAGAGAAGCCGGAGGUGCAGAGGGGUGCCGGGCGGGUACCAGCCCAGACUCCUGAGCGCUGUCCUUCCCGGGAGGCCAGCAGGGGCAGUGACCUUCCCCUGACCUGCCCUCUCCUGGCAGCAGGCAUCCCUGGAGGGCAUCUUCCUGGCUCAGGUCGGGAGGGGAGGGCGAGCCCUGAGCUAACAAGGUCCCUGGCGAUUCCAGCAGGGCUCCCCCCUCCCAGCCCCAUGAACACGUUAACUGGGCGAUGAAGAGGCCAGCGCUCUCCCGCUCGACCUGGGAUCUGGGAGAAGCUCCCGAGCCCAUCAAGUGAGAGGCACCGUCACAUCUGCUGGGAAGUGUGCACACGUGUGAGCAAGUGUGUGACCAGUCGAGUGUGGACCACGGGUGAGAGCGUGCGAACCUGUUCAGGUGUGAGCAUGCGAGUGUGUCGUGUAUGCAGGUGCACGUGUGUGUGGGUGUGAGUGCACCUGUCAGGGUGUGAGAAGGCCCGAGUGUGUGUGGGUGUGAACAGGAACGCAAGUGAGGGCUGUGUCCUCGGGGCAUCGAGAAUCCCUGGCUGCUCCUCGGGGAGAGGGGACGUCAGCGGGGCCACGGGCCUCAGGGAGCUGGCCGGGUGGUCCCCAGUCCUCCCACAGCUCCGUGGUGCUGAGGCCCUGCUCGGAAUGGGGACCCACACCUGCCGGCUCUCUGGUGCCUCUUCUGUACAUGUGUGUCCUUCCAGCAGAGGCCACAGAUGUCAGAGGACACACGGAUACUGUGUUCCAUCAAAUGUGCGGCCCUCAGCCAGGCGUGGUAGAGUGGCUGGUCUACACUCCACCUUAGGGCUGGCUUGUUCUGCGGCCCUGGGUGAAUCAACCACCUGGACAACCCCUGGUCUCUACCUUGAGGCCGGGUGAGCUCCUGGUGCCCAUACACUUCCCUACCCCAUGCCACUUCUGAAGUUCCCAAACACGUGGAAUCUUCCACAGGUGCAUGAGACCAAACCGGAAACCCUGCUGUAACCUUGACCAAGUUUGACCAAGUGAGGCCCUUGACCUCCUCAGGCGGUGGCUGCAGAGUCAAGGAGCAACCGCUGGAGAUUGGUCCAGGUGCUCUGUGGUCCUGGGAAAAGAGUCCAAGAUGUGGUCCAGGCUUGGAUGAGGGCCUGACCGUGUCUGAGGGCUGCCAUCUCGUCUCCGUGGUAACAAACUCUGCACUCCCACAUCCCCCUGAGGUAGGACGGGUCACGCGUCGAGCUUCGGCAACGAGAUGGAAGAAGGUGAUUCCUGCCCUGUCCUGAAGGAGGCCCUGGGUCUCCUGGGGGACUCGCCAGCACUGUGGGAGCAGGGCCAGGUCAGACCCUGAGGCCACCCACUCUGCCUACUGCUCCAACCGGUUUAUUGAUUUAUCUUUGGUACUGGAAAUUGGACCUAGGGCGGCUCUACUCCUGAGGCACAUCCACAGCCCUCGUCCUUUUGGGUUUUGAGACAGGGUCUUGCUGAAUUGCUGAAGCUGCUCUUGAACUCACUACUCUCCUGCCUCAGCCUCCCAUGUAGCUGGGAUCACAGGUGUGCACCACUGGGACCGACUCUGCCUGGGGCUCCUUACAUGAGCCACAAAUAAACCUGUGUCGUUUGUGUCCUUUUACUUCCAGCAUUUCUGUGAUGAUAAACAGAAUGUGCAGUUUAAUUUUUUAAAGACAUCCCGUCUGGCUGGGCGUGGUGGCACAGCCUCUACUCCCAGCUGCUCAGGAGGCUGAGGCAGGAGGAUGGAACAUUUGAGGCCAGCACAUGCUCACGUGCGUGUUGGGGUUCUCAGUGCUUCUUGAAUCCGUAUCUUGACGGCUUCUGUCAGUUCUGAAAAUUCUCGGUCAUCAUCUCUUCAAGGGUUGCGUCUGUGCCCCUUCCUGCGCCUAUUGGCCGUGCACUACUCAACCACCAGCAGUCUUGUCCGGCUUCCCUGGUGUCCUUCUUCUAUCAAUUCCUUAAGUCUUGGCUCCCUAAAUGGCCCCCGAUUCCAGUUUUUGGCAUCCAGCCCGACAUGGCUGGAACACCGUCAACCUCUCUGUCUGACGGCCCUGCUCUCUGCUACCCCCUGGGCUCCUGUGCACACGGAUUAUGAAUUAGCAGACGCCUCCGGAAGGAAAGAGCGCAGUGUGGGUUACCCCCAGGCUCUAUCUCUCUGGAGCCAUGGCCUCUCUGCUCAGUCCCACUGCCUGGACAGCUCAUUGACGUUGUCAGAAAUAUUCUCUGGUUCUCCACGGGAGGCCAGGUUGUCUGCAAGCUAGUCUGUCCCCCUAGGCUUUGCGGUUUCCGUCACUGAUUUGGGGGUUGUUUAUUACAAUGGCACAACCUAGCACAUCCUGAGCACUGGAGCAGGGAUCCUUGGUGGGCAAGUGGGCUGUCACAUGGGGAUGUGACUGUGGAUCACAUGACACCCCCAGGAGGCCCCUGCAAGAGCUGCUAGUCCCUGAGCUCUGCGUGUCCUCACGGACCAGUCCAGAGCCUUUCGAUGGAAAUAUUUGCUUUCCAGGAGUGAGUCCAGGUCCUCCAGUGGCUCCUCGGUUAAUAGAGAGGGCUGACCUCGGGUUUUGGACAUCCCCCUGGUUUCCUGGGGAUGAAGCAGGCACUGUGCAAACUACCCCACUACUUAUCCAGGCACACAUAUUCAGGGUCCCGCCGUCUAUAGUGUGAAUCUGACGAGCUGUUUGUGGCUGGUGAUUUUAGAAUUGGCAUAAUAAUUCCUUUAAAUUUUCUCCCAUUUAAAAAGGGAAAGCACAUUCAAUGAUUCAAAAAUUUUAGAAAAGCAGCAAGGUGUAAAGUCAAGAAGUAAAAGCUCAUCUAAUCCCGAUUGUCUCGAUAAGAACUGUUCAUGGGGCCUACCUCCGUGUAGGGUAUGUGCUAGUGGGCAAGAGGCCCUGGUUCCAUCCCCACAAAAAAGAUGAAGAAGAAAAAGGAGGAGGAGGAGGAGGAGGAGGAGGAGAAAGAUGAAGAGGAAGAAAAUAAAA